rnacentral:lncRNA from 1 species
UUCUUAGCUUGAAAGAGGCCUUGAAGGAGUGAAAGAGAGAAGAUUGAGUAGCCGGGUGAAUAUCCUUUGCUAUUGAAUUUGAAGAAGCUGUGGCUCUUUCAAUAAGAUCUUGGACUGGGAUACUAAGCAAGAGAGCCAAAGGGGCGAAACGAGAUAUAGAUGACUGGAUCAGUCUGGCUACAAGACCUUGAAAAGGGAAUAAGCC